rnacentral:rRNA from 1 species
UACAGAGGUGGCAAGCGUUGUUCGGAAUUACUGGGCGUAAAGGGCUCGUAGGUGGCCAACUAAGUCGGACGUGAAAUCCCUCGGCUUAACCGGGGAACUGCAUCCGAUACUGGAUGGCUUGAGUUCGGGAGAGGGAUGCGGAAUUCCAGGUGUAGCGGUGAAAUGCGUAGAUAUCUGGAGGAACACCGGUGGCGAAGGCGGCAUCCUGGACCGACACUGACGCUGAGGAGCGAAAGCCAGGGGAGCAAACGGG